rnacentral:misc_RNA from 1 species
AGGUGAACCUGCGGAGGGAUCAUUACAAGUGACCCCGGUCUAACCACCGGGAUGUUCAUAACCCUUUGUUGUCCGACUCUGUUGCCUCCGGGGCGACCCUGCCUUCGGGCGGGGGCUCCGGGUGGACACUUCAAACUCUUGCGUAACUUUGCAGUCAGAGUAAACUUAAUUAAUAAAUUAAAACUUUUAACAACGGAUCUCUUGGUUCUGG